CUCGUAGGCGGUUUGUCGCGUCGCCUGUGAAAACCCGCAGCUCAACUGCGGGCUUGCAGGCGAUACGGGCAGACUUGAGUACUGCAGGGGAGACUGGAAUUCCUGGUGUAGCGGUGAAAUGCGCAGAUAUCAGGAGGAACACCGGUGGCGAAGGCGGGUCUCUGGGCAGUAACUGACGCUGAGGAGCGAAAGCGUGGGUAGCGAACA
rnacentral:rRNA from 1 species